UGAAACUGCAAGGCUGUUUUACAUGCCUUUUUGUCCUCUUUUGCACAAGGAGCCUCUGCAUUUGAAUCCCUUAACGCCCCACAGCUGUCAUGCUAGCAAGACCCAGGAAACUUUAGUAUUUCAGCCACUCUGCCUCCAGCGGCUGAUCUGUUUGAAGGCUGAGGGUAUAGGGGAAAAGCUGCUGGACUUCAAGGACACGAUGAAAUUUGGAUGUUCUGUUUCAUACAUGGAAGAACGAAGAUCCAGAUUGAUGUCUCUGACUGAUCUCAUUCACAUUCACAUGGACAUCUCCCUGGGUAGCAUCUCUGACCUUACCUCAUUGUGGGCUGGAGACAAACUGAUACUUCAUUCUAGAAAAUAAUUUCUUCAGUUAUUAAUCAAUGUGGAAAAAAAGAGAAUGCAAAAGGUAAAAUUCAGUCUUUUUUUUCUUAUUUUCAGGCUUUGAGCCGAGAGAUUUUAAUUAUAUAUUCAGUUUUUCUAGGGAUGUGAAGUUAACGAAUAGCAUUAAAAAAGAAAAUCCUAAAAAACCAAAUUAGGCCAAAUAUAGAUAUAGU
rnacentral:lncRNA from 1 species